rnacentral:rRNA from 6 species
GUGAAUCAUCGAGUUUUUGAACGCAUGUUGCGCCCGAGGCUUGUCCCGAGGGCAUGCCUGCCUGAGCGUCACC